rnacentral:rRNA from 1 species
UACGUAGGGACCAAGCGUUGUUCGGAUUUACUGGGCGUAAAGGGCGCGUAGGCGGCGCGGUAAGUCACUUGUGAAAUCUCUGAGCUUAACUCAGAACGGCCAAGUGAUACUGCAGUGCUAGAGUGUGGAAGGGGCAAUCGGAAUUCUUGGUGUAGCGGUGAAAUGCGUAGAUAUCAAGAGGAACACCUGAGGUGAAGACGGGUUGCUGGGCCAACACUGACGCUGAUGCGCGAAAGCCAGGGUGAGAAACGG